AACUUUCAGCAAUGGAUCACUUGGCUCUCGCAUCGAUGAAGAACGCAGCGAAAUGCGAUAAGUAAUGUGAAUUGCAGAAGUCAGUGAAUCAUCGAAUCUUUGAACGCACCUUGCGCCCUUUGGCUAUUCCGAAAGGCAUGCCUGUUUGAGUAUCAUGAACACCUCAACCCUCACGGUUCCUCGUGAUGGGCUUGGACUUGGGGGCUUUGUUGGCCUGUGGUCAGCUCUCCUCAAAUAAAUCAGCUCGCCAGUGUCUGGCGGCAUCAUGGGUGUGAUAACCAUCUACGCUUGUGAUCGCCUGCGAGGUAAACCUCUGGUCUGCAGAGGUUCGCUGGAGCUUAUAGAUGUCUCUCCUCUGUGAAGACAGCUUUCUGAAGUUCGAUCUCAAAUCAGGUAGGACUACCCGCUGAACUUAAGCAUAUCAAUAAACGGAGGCU
rnacentral:misc_RNA from 1 species